GUUCCCAAAGCUGGAGAGGCGGUGGUGUCUGCCAGAGCUGGAGAGGCAGCAGUGCUAGGGCCACCUAAGCCAUUCUUUGGCAAUGGAGGCAGAGGUUAACUGAUUCCCAAGAAGGUGACAUCGCCUGCGACUGCUUCCACUGUUGCGAUGGACGAGGUGGAGCUUUCCCGAACGGAUCUAGAAUCAUUAAGUUCUUCCAUUUGAACAUAACUGUCCAACUACCAAGCUUCAGGAAGAGAAGAUGGCUAAUCAAGGUUGGGUUGCAAACAGGCUUAGGGAUUAGAUAAAAAGGAAUCAACAUAAGGGUGCAAAGGAUGCAAAGGAAAAGCUGGAAGUAGAGUAUGAAAUAAAGUUUAAGUAUUCCAAGGCUUCGGAAGGCAUGAGGGUAGCACUUGAUCAGAUACAUGGGAAAUAUGAAGAAAGUUUUCAACUGCUUGUCAAUUGGAAACCAAAGAUAGAGAAUAUACAAUUAGGUACAAUUGUUGAAACUAAGUUGGCUUAGGUGAAUGUUGCCUGCAAAAUAUUCCCACCUAAGCUGAAAAGGGCUACACGAAGGCCUAGAACUCAGAGAGUGAAGGGAAUUCUUGAACCUGGAAGAAGGGUUAGCUGUAAAAGAUGUAGAGGUUUUAGUCAUUUUGGGAAGACUUGCAAGCAUGUAGAAGCUACUAGUGCUAGAGAAGCUACUGAAGGAACCACCAAGAAGAGGCUUAGAGAAGAUGAUGGAGCUUCUAGAAGAAAAAAUAAGAGGAGGACACCCAAAAGGAAGAAGACACCAAAAAAGAAGAAGCAACAAGCAAGUAGCAGUGCCCCUCCUACUAGAAUUGUUAGAAAAAUUUCAGAUUGGCUAGCGAG